CAGCAGCCGCGGUAAUACAGAGGGUGCGAGCGUUAAUCGGAUUUACUGGGCGUAAAGCGUGCGUAGGCGGCUUCUUAAGUCGGAUGUGAAAUCCCUGAGAUUAACUUAGGAAUUGCAUUCGAUACUGGGAAGCUAGAGUAUGGGAGAGGAUGGUAGAAUUCCAGGUGUAGCGGUGAAAUGCGUAGAGAUCUGGAGGAAUACCGAUGGCGAAGGCAGCCAUCUGGCCUAAUACUGACGCUGAGGUACGAAAGCAUGGGGAGCAAACAGGAUUAGAUACCCCCGUAGUCCCUGUCUCUUAUAC
rnacentral:rRNA from 1 species